rfam:Spirochaetes bacterium DG_61 WOR1_52_54_25877, whole genome shotgun sequence.
CAACCCACACUGAGAGGUGUGGCUGAACCGGCAGAAGUCAGCCGAGGGCAUAGUGUGUGCC